GAUGAACGCUGGCGGCGUGCCUAAUACAUGCAAGUCGAGCGAACAGACGAGGAGCUUGCUCCUCUGACGUUAGCGGCGGACGGGUGAGUAACACGUGGAUAACCUACCUAUAAGACUGGGAUAACUGCGGGAAACCGGAGUUAAUACCGGAUAAUAUAUUGAACCGCAUGGUUCAAUAGUGAAAGACGGUUUUGCUGUCACCUAUAGAUGUAUCCGCGCCGCAUUAGCUAGUUGGUAAGGUAACGGCCUACCAAGGAAACGAUGCGUAGCCGACCUGAGAGGGUGAUCGGCCACACUGGAACUGAGACACGGUCCAGACUCCUACGGGAGGCAGCAGUAGGGAAUCUUCCGCAAUGGGCGAAAGCCUGACGGAGCAACGCCGCGUGAGUGAUGAAGGUCUUCGGAUCGUAAAACUCUGUUAUUAGGGAAGAACAAAUGUGUAAGUAACUAUGCACGUCUUGACGGUACCUAAUCAGAAAGCCACGGCUAACUACGUG
rnacentral:rRNA from 1 species